UUUAGCAAGGUUUGGCUGAACGGAAUGGCUGUUGAGCGCGGGCUGUGGAAUCAAUGAUGAGAUAAUAAAUUUAUGGGCCCUGGCUGAACAGCCAUCGCGUUCAGCUAAUCUGAAUUCCAUAAUUCAUAGAGGAGAAAGAGACUGAGAAGAGAGAGAGGAAAAUGGCGGCAUCGUCACGGGUGUCGAGCAGCAACAGCAACGACAUCGGCAUUACCACCACCUUUACCUCUACCGCCACUUCAACGCAACAGCGUUCAGAACCACCGAAGAGCUUGCGCGGCCUUAACAAGCGCAUGAGCUCUAAGCAAGGCAACUUAGCCCGUUCCAGGUUCAUCAAACUCUCACAUUAAUGAUAAAUGAUAUGUUAUAAAGGGAAAAACGAAGAAAAGAAUGUAAAUAGUCGUGCCCCGGAAAUCCUAUGGUUCUCUUUUAGAGUUUCUAGAGAUGAUUUUGUCUCCGUGGAAUAGCAAAAAGAUGUAUUUAUAGAUCAAGGGUUUGAAUGUACUGAGUUCCUUAUUCAGUUUGUUCUUUCAGGUAUCAGUUUAGCUCGACUGCGGACUAUAUGGUUGAAGCGAUAUAUUGAAUUGGGAAUUUUUUUUUUCUUCUCCUCCAUUUUUCUAAGUUUGUAUGUGCUUACAAUAUUAUGGUGGAGUGGUGAUUAUGUUUCUUUCUAUGAGGUUUAUUUGUUUCAUAAAUUGGAACUCUGAUGUGUCUAUCUUGGGUUAUUGCUAUUGAAAACCUAGCAGAACUAGAAAAUUCCGUGGAUUUGCGAUGUUUUUCGAAUUGGUAUUCUUUUAGACGUUAGGGCUUGUUACAUCUUCAUUGAACAGUAACCUACUUACUGAUUUUGACUCUUCAUGGCGAUACCGAUACCAUUAUGUCCAUGUAGACCUAUCAGUUCAUCUUAUUGUACGUUUUUCCCCGUUUAUGGAUUCUUGUUAAUGGUGCAAGCAGUGUUUUAGAACUCAAGAAUCGACUUGACCUACUAGGAUGGACUAGUAUCUGGGACUGGUCCCAAAUACUCAAUUGAUACCUUAUCUGCCCCAUAUUAUCAACAUAAUUAUGGGUUCUUUGGUUUGACUUAGACACAAUUAGUGGAAAAAUUAUACUUGAAAGAAACGACCAUGGAAUAAGAUUUUAGGUAAUCCUUCAAGUAGGUAGGACUUAGGAGAGAGUUAUCAUAAUAAGGUGGAAAGGAGAGAAGUUGGGGUCUGUUGUAUGGUUUAGUGUGUAUUUCAAAGUUGUAUUGGUUAGGUUGUGCUGGCUAUAUUGUACAAAAGGAAUGCAGGGUGGGGGCCAAAUUGGUUUGAAAAAAGUUAAGGGUGUGCUAGGAUUUUGAGGGUUAAUUUGUACUAUUGGUUCAUGGAGUAGGUAUUAUGUUUUGAUUGAAUUAAGAAGUUGGUAGGGGGAUAUGAGUUAAGGAUUUGAUUGUUCUUUUGAUGAUAUAUGGUUUUAUUAAGCUGAAGGUGUAUUGGUAGGGUUUUGGUGUGGGGGUGUCUCAGUGAUGCCUUAUCAUCUUUGGUUAUAUCUGUUUUCUAUUUUUCUUUUUUAAUGAUUUUUUACUAUAAAAAACUUUCUACAUAAAAUUCUGGUGGUGCUUUCUAAGAAAAGUAUUUCAUUCAGAUACUGUACAAACUUUUUCUUUUGAAACUGUAAAGUAUUUCAUUAAUGAAUACAAAAAGCAUAAGGCUCCCCUGUACAUUCAGAUACUGUACAAAGGGCAUGCAACCAACCACCCUGAUAUGUUUCAAAACACAGCUAACCUCGAAUGCAGACCCAGAACUGACCACUGACCCUUUGUAAUGAGGUUGGAUUGAUUCAUAUCUCUCGGGUUGAUCGAGGCUAUUGAUAGCCCUAUCUAGUAGUGGUAGCAUGUAUGAGAUUAUCCUAAAUGUCCUUUUCCCUGUGGAUCAAGGAAGUGCUUGGUCAUUUGUAUCGGAGAUUCUGCUUCAUUUGAAAGACACCUAGAAAACCCCCUUGCUGUGUAGCUUAUCUCAUAACUGAUUUAGAGUUCUCCCUGUUUGUUUGUUUGUUUAUGAAUGAUUAAAGAGUGUACUAGAUAUAUUUAUAAAAAAAAGAGUGUACUAGAUAUAUAAAUAGAUAAGAAAAUUGGCUAUUUACAGAAAAUUUCUAUUUAAAACUACCUCUCUUGGCCAUUAUUAUCCCUUAAGGCGAGGAAAGUAAUAUUCCUCUCUUUGGGAUUGAAAAACUGAUCACCAUGGUUUGUGGUUAGGGAUGCAACUUGGGUCUCUUUGGCCUGACCUAUUAACUCGGGCCAAUCUGAGUUGCACUCCUAUUUGUAGUAUGUUUUUUUUUUUCUUUUGUUCUGAGAAAAAUAUGGUGUAUCAAUCCUAUGUAUGUAUAUGUAUAUGCAUGUGUUACCGAUCAAUAUGAAUUAUGUAUGUACAUAUUUAUGUAUUUGAUAUGUAAAAUAAUAGCUCUGGGUGAUAGAACCUUGUGUUUUUGUGUAUGCCUCUUCUGAAUGGAUUACCCCCUUGCUUUUGUUUUCACUUCUUUAAAGUAAAUUGAAAGAUACACUUUUUGGUCUGGAUUUUGGUUAUUUGGUUGGUUUUGCUGCUUUAUGUGGAGGUUUUUCUUCGUUUCACUUAUUGCAUUGAAAUAUUUUCUACUAGACUUACAGGUGGGAAUUCUCCAUUGGGAGGCAGUGUUUGAAGAUGCAUAUUAUCAUGAAAGUCGCAUCCUCACCAGUCACCAAGAAAAGUAAAAGGCAACCUUUUCAUUCAUGUAUCCUGCUGUUCAUGUUAUUCUUUCCUUUUUUUUGGGGGUGUGUCAGGCCAUUCAGUUAGUGAGCUGCACUGAUCUACCAAUCAGAUAUUAUUUUUUACAUGAAAUUAAGGGCAACUGGCCUAGUUGGCCACCAAAUUCCCUAGACAGCUUAACAGCUCUAAAGAAUAGGGCAAAUAUGACUCUAAAACCUCAAUGGAUGGAAUUCUUUUGCAAACGUGGAUGGGAAACAUGAACUUUUUACUGCUCAUACUGCUUAUUUUAUAAAGGGGGUUGAGAUGUUUUUUUUUAUCAAUAACAGAAACAAUUCGUUAAUGAGAAAUAAGAGAUAGGUAUAGAAGUAGGGGGAGAUAAACUCUCUUAACUCCCCCAAAAUUAAGAGUUAAGACAUUACAAACAAGCCCAGAACAAAUGAUUUCUUCCCACCCCUUGUUUGGCUAGUGCAUCUGCAAAGGAAUUGGCACAUCUCUUAACCCAUUGUACCCUCACUGUCAUAUCCCGGGUUAGCCAUUUAAAUACUCUCUUUUCAUUCAGGUAGCUCCACAUGCUUCUCUCCUCUUUUUGCAACCAGUCUAUUACCAACUUCAAAUCUCCCUCAAUAAUCAACCGUCUUAAGUUAAGCUCCUUGGCCUUUUUGGCACCUUCUGAGACUGCCAAGACUUAAGCUCGGACUGAGGGAUCCUUCCCCAAUUGGGCCUGAGAACAUGGCAACAAUCGCACCCACCUCAUUCCUAAAGACCCCUCUAGUGCCUGAGGGGCCGGGGUUACCUUCACUACUACCAUCAAAAUUCAGCUUCCUCUUUUUAACGUUUGAUGAUCAAACUAUUAAAUAUGCAGUAGCUGCUGUGCAAAAGCUCAAAAUCCAUGUCAUUUACAUGGUAUGCGUAAUAGUUAUCAUUAAAAAAAUGGUUCCUUUUUAUUUAUUUUGUUUAUAUUUUUGAGGUAACAUGAUUGUGUUGUAUUUAUGAGGACAAAAAAAAUUAGGGAUGUUAAUGGGUGAGGUUUAGUGCCAGUUUGCCCCCAACUUAGCCCAACUUAACAAAUUGUAAUUCUUGAACCUGCACUGACCCUAUAACACCCCGAUAUUGACCUAACCUGACCCAACUCACAAAUCACUAAGUACAUUGUUUUUUGUCCAAUUGAUAUUUCAUUUUUUGCUUUUCUUUUAUGUUAUUAAUUACUAAUUAGAGUCUUUUGAUUGCAUUUUUAACACAUUUUGACAAUCCAAUAGCCAUUAAAAAAUUUCUUUGUGGUUAUUACAUUAUCUAGGUGUUUCAAAUUCUAUCUCAAUUCUCACAUAGUCAAAACACUUGGGAGGAAUGGCUAUUGAGGACCAAUGUCCAAUUAGGAGGAUGUUUGGAAGUGUGGCCGUUUUUCUGAAAAUGGUGCCACGUCGGAUCCACAUAGGCAUUUCAACAAACGCCCAUAUACAUGAUUGUUUGGUUCAGGCGUUUUUUGAAAAAACACUUUAACCAUAGGCAUGCCUCGUAAAUCGGAACCUCACUGAUGCAUGAAACGUCAAAUUUGGCGUUUCAUGCAUCGGUGAACCGUUGCCCCCAACGGUUCACUGAGAUGGUGAAUACGUGUAUCCUACAUGGCGCUUACCUGUAAGAUGAAUUGGGACUAGUGGGAAUGUUCCGAUGCUUUUCGGCCCACCGGAACAUUAACCCAACGAGUGGUAGGGUUAGAAUGUCACUUGAACAUUCUAACUCUUUCUUCUUGCUGCCGAAAGUUCUCUCCUCUCAUAGACAACCUCUGUAACCUCUACUCGUUUCUUUGUCACUGCCGUUGCUGGAAGAGGUUGGUUGUCACCAGAGGAGGUUAGUCAUUGCCAGGAGAGGUUUGUUUUUAGAUUUUUUUUCCUUUGUGUAAACUUGUUUUCUCUAUGUAAACUCAUCGCCGAAAGUUUUUCCUCUGUGAAAACUCGUUUCUAGACUUUGUUUUAUGCAAAAAACAAACAAAACUGAUGUUGGUGAGAUAACUAUUUUUCUGCUUGACUACUUUUACCAUUCCUCCAUUAUUUCUAAGCCUCAGCAUGCGUCUUUUAUUGGUUCUCCUUUCCUUUAGUAAAUGUUACUUCUACAAUGCAACAAGAAGAAAAUUAUCUUUGACUGCUAUAGAAUAUCUUGAUCCAAACUUUUCCUGAUCCCUUUCACUUCUACUAGCAUUGCUUGGAUGUUAAAAGGCAAAAAAUCUAUUUUAGUUCCUUAUUUUCUUUUUUUUGAAUGAUGCAUAUGUUGUUGUAGCACCUCCAUUUGUAUACAUUGAUCAUGUAAAGAACUCAUUAAUAGAUCGAAUUAAGAUAUCUGCUCAGAAUUCUUGGGUUGGAAAGUCCCUUAGUGCCUAGUAAAGAACUCAUUAACUGAUGUCUGUAUCAUUAUGUUGCUUGCAACUUAUGAAAGUCCCUGUUUGAUUUGAAGACUCUGCUUUAAUGUGAUGGUUGAUUGAUAAAUUAAAACAUAAUAUAUCUGAUCCAAACAUCCUCAACACCAGACUCUGUCCCUUAGUGCUCCAUGUUCUCUUAAUUAGAAUAACAUCCCAUUCAUGUACUCCACUGGACCAAGAACAUCUUCUCUUCCUUCAAGAACCCAUGAGUGACCGCUUAGUAUUUCCACCACAUUUCCAGGCAAGGGAAGGAUAAACAGGUAGAGACUUUUGUUGGCCAAAAUGUUCCCUUCCACCACCUCUCUUUGAAUGGCAAUUUAAAUUAGGUGUUUUCUGGUAGAAAUAUUGCUAUAGAAGGAAGUUAAAACCCUACUUAGAUGGUUUGGAUAUUGAUUGACAAAAGAGACUGCAUAUUUUGGUAUGUAGAGGAUAUUUAAUAGGAUAAACUUACUCCACUUUUUCUUUUUUCUUUAUAAGUAACCUUACUGGCAUAUACGAAAGUCAAAUAGCAACAUAUCUGUUCAAGCUGUAACAGGCAAUUCACAACCUAAAGUAGGUAUUCAUUUCCAUCAGUUUGUAUAGUUGCCUCCACUUCUUUAUCUCAAGAGAUAUCAAUCUCUUUGGGUUGGAUUGGUGCAAUGUCUAGCUUUUGAUACCAUAAUACUUUUAGAAAGAUUUACGAUAGGUUUUCCAGAUUUGUUUCUUUGAUAACCAAAAUUGUAUUAGGUUCUUUAUUCCCAACUCUUUUUUUUUUUUCUUUUUUUUUAGAUGGAUUCUUUAUCCCCUUCUCUUUUUUGUAGUAAAGUCUGAUUUAUCAAUAAUAAUUACCACCUACAUCUAAAUUAUGUUUAACUCCCUACAUAUCUGCUUUAACUGAUAUAUCACAAUUGAAGCAGUCUUAAAGCUGGCGCAAUAUUGCCGACUACAUACAUUCUUCAAUGAUGGUUGGCUUUGAUUGAAUGUCAUGUUGCUACCAAUGUAAAGACAACUGUAUUUCAAUAUUUAAAUAAUUUCACUUUUUUGAGAUCUUCACUUAAUUGUUUUCUAAUCCAUUGCCAUGAUCAGCAGAACUUGACUGCCAAUAUAAGUUAGUCAAACACUCAUGAAUUAAGUAACUUCAUCACUCAUGAAUUAAGUCACUUCAUUUUUUAGUUACACUCUUCCAUUAUCUCAAUCUUAAGUUAGCCGCCUACUUUAUGGCCUCUCCCUCCCCCUUUAAUUACUCUCUUUAGAUCCACGACUUUACUCUCUGUAAAUCCCAACUCCUAACAUGUAACUUUUUUCCUCUACCAGAUCUCUAGCGAGGAAAAAACUUAAUGUUCAUCUAAUGCCUCAUUGAGAAAUUCUAUAACUUUUCUUGAAUGUCUGAGGAAAAAACCUUUAAUGUGAUGGUUGAUUGAAACACAUUAGAUAUGACACAAAUGAGUAGAGAAACACAUUAGAUAUAUUAUGUUUUAAUUGAGGAUUUGUUUGUUAUGUUAGUAUUAGAAAUGGUUGGUUGAUAAAUUGCAUAACCCAUUAAAGUCUUUAGAGCAUUAUUCACAAUAACAAAAUUAAGCUUAGCGGGUUUGAUGGCAGGAUGGCAACCGAGUUAGAUAGUGAAGAACUCAAACUAGGUCUCGAUUGUGCGCAGUGGUCUGAUGCAGAGGAGGAAACCUUCAUUAAUCUUAUAGUGGACCAAGUUAGGGCAAACAAUAGUCCUACAUCUUCCUUUAACGCAGAAGGGUGGAAGUACAUACGUCAAAAAUUUAACGAGAAACAUGACAGGAGUUAUGUCCAUGCUCAGUUCAAAAACAAGUAUAAUGUACUUAGACAGCGUCGGAAGCGGUACUUAACCCUCCUUAACUAUACAGGUGUGAUUGUAGAUCCAUUGACAAAAAAUCCUACCUCAAAUGAAGAAGUCUAGCAAAGCCUGAUGAAGUUCUGAAACUGAAUGAAACUUAUCUGGGGAAGUCACCAUGUUCAAGGCUUCAAGCUCUCCUUCAUUUGGUCGACCAUCCACUGAUGUAUCUACAUCAGGGGUUUCAUUGAGGGUUUCUGUGCUUAGGCAACUUUCCAAAAACUUUGCUCAACUCAAUGGAGCUCUUCUUUUAGCAUGUUCAAGGAAGCCAUUGACAAAAAAAAGUGCAAAUAGGAAAUUGGUUUAUGUUGUUUUUGGAGACCACAUACUCAUGUGGUAUUGAAAUGACAGCCGAGUUUUCCUCGGGAUGCAACAGCUAUAAAUCAAUGGUGGUUAUCCAAGCUGCAAGAGUACAAGGAAACAAUGAAGCAGAAAAUGAAGCUUUUGACCGUCACAUGCAUAAUGCUGGUUUACUGGAGGAAGCAUUUCUUCUAAAUUCUUCACUGGGAGAAUCCAGAACAGAUGCACUGUCUGAAGUGGAAUCUGCAAUUCUGCAUCUGCUUCUGGUGAAAUGUAUGCUAGGAGGUUGAUCUUAGGGUCUGAAAUAAAGCUGAGGUCAAACUCAGAGAGAUCAGAUGGCAUCAGAGAAACUUGUCGAUCAGGGUCUCAGGAAGUUGCACAAAUGGGAGUUUGGAUAUAAGGAGCACCUACCAAUGCUCAACACCUUGGAUGGCCAGGAGCCUAAAAAAUCAGCGGAAAAAAAAAGAAUUGAUGUCCUGAGAGGGCAUUGGCAACAAGUGAUCUUGUUGAUAAAUUGAAUAAAUCUCACAAUGAGGAAGAUCUGAAGUCCUUGGAGAUGAACUCCAAGUUGUUUAAUCAGCAUCAGGAAGUAUGGAUGUUGAGAUAUCAGAGUAGAUGACUGCUGAAGAUGUUUAAUCAGAUUAUUCCUUUCCUAAUUAUUUAAUACAGUUGAAAACAAUCAAGAAACGCACCAAAGUUUGGAUGCACAUUUUUCUUCUCUUGAUCAGAUAGAAGAUCUUUGAUUGAGUUUAGCUAGGUAAAAAAUCCAGGAGUUAAAGUAAAUAGGAGAUGACUGCUGAAGAUGUUUAAUCAGAUUACUCUUUUCCUAAAUUAUUUAAUACAGUUGAAAAUAAUCAAGAAACGCUACAAAGUUUGGAUGCGCA